rnacentral:rRNA from 1 species
UGGGGAAUAUUGCACAAUGGGCGCAAGCCUGAUGCAGCCAUGCCGCGUGUGUGAAGAAGGCCUUCGGGUUGUAAAGCACUUUCAGCGGGGAGGAAGGCGAUAAGGUUAAUAACCUCAUCGAUUGACGUUACCCGCAGAAGAAGCACCGGCUAACUCCGUGCCAGCAGCCGCGGUAAUACGGAGGGUGUAAGCGUUAAUCGGAAUUACUGGGCGUAAAGCGCACGCAGGCGGUCUGUCAAGUCGGAUGUGAAAUCCCCGGGCUCAACCUGGGAACUGCAUUCGAAACUGGGAGGCUAGAGUCUUGUAGAGGGGGGUAGAAUUCCAGGUGUAGCGGUGAAAUGCGUAGAGAUCUGGAGGAAUACCGGUGGCGAAGGCGGCCCCCUGGGCGAAGACUGACGCGCAGGUGCGAAAGCGUGGGGAGCAAAAAGG